rnacentral:misc_RNA from 1 species
UUUGUUUCAAGAAUAUCAACAACCUAAAGACAAAAUGGAAGCGGCAAAAUAAAAUUUCAAACAAAAAAAAUGCAGAAAGUCAUUGAUUGAAACAAAUUUGUGAUAAGACAAGUAUGACCAUAUUCAAAAUUCACAAACAAUCAAAGUAUUUCAAUGACCAGAAGAUUCAUAUUCUGCAAACCGAAAAGCAGGUAUUAAGAAAAUUGUCAGAACAGAGUAAAUGUUUUCAGUUCUAUGACUGUUUGGGGAAAAAAUAAUGGACUUCAAAAAUAAAAAUUCCACUAGCUUUGGAAGUAGAUAUUAUCGCAAGGAGAACCAAAAGGACACACUGGAUUUGAAAAGACAUACUCAUAAAAUUAAACCACAUGAUAUAAUAGCUAUGCUAAGAUGCACAAACUUCAUUAGCUCACUGUGCUUCACAUAAUGCAGUAUAACUGUUAUCUACACUCCUAGGGUUAUUUAUUGCAUGAAAGUUAUAGGUACUGACUAGGAGUGUAGAUAACUGUUAUGUGUCAUGACUAAGAGUCCAGUAACAUGCAAAGUCUUGCACUAACAUUUGGUGAUACAAAGCACAAUGUAACUAAGUAUGAACUCUCAAGAUCUCCUAGUGUUCUUGAUGAAAAUUUCAGACUUACAAGCAACAAAUAGCAAGCCCAUAAAUCCAUAAUUAAAGAAUUAAACUGACAUCAAUAACACCUGUAAUAACUAAUAACUAACAUAAUACAAAACAGCCAUGCCCAACGUCUAAUAAUUGUUCAAAAUUAGUUGGAUCAUCCUUAUUAAUGUUGUUCACAAUUUAG